GACGAACGCUGGCGGCGUGCUUAACACAUGCAAGUCGAACGGAAAGGCCCUGCUUUGUGGGGUGCUCGAGUGGCGAACGGGUGAGUAACACGUGAGUAACCUGCCCUUGACUUUGGGAUAACUUCAGGAAACUGGGGCUAAUACCGGAUAGGAGCUCCUGCUGCAUGGUGGGUUGAAAGUUUCGGCGGUUGGGAUGGACUCGCGGCUUAUCAGCUUGUGGUGGGUAGUGGCUUACCAAGGCUUUGACGGGUAGCCGGCCUGAGAGGUGACCGGCCACAUUGGGACUGAGAUACGGCCCAGACUCCUACGGAGGCAGCAGUGGGAAUAUUGCACAAUGGCGAAGCCUGAUGCAGC
rnacentral:rRNA from 1 species